rnacentral:tRNA from 1 species
UUGGUAGCUCAGCUGGAUAGAGCAACAGAUUUCUAAUCUGUGGGUCAAGGGUUCGAAUCCCUUCCGA